AGAGUUUGAUCAUGGCUCAGAACCAACGCUGGCGGCGUGCCUAACACAUGCAAGUCGCACGAGAAAGGGUAGCAAUACCUGAGUAAAGUGGCGCACGGGUGAGUAACACGUGAAUUAUCUACCUCCGAGUGGGGAAUAACUGAGAGAAAUCUUAGCUAAUACCGCAUAACACUUACGAGUCAAAGCAGCAAUGCGCUUGGAGAGGAGUUCGCGGCCGAUUAGUUAGUUGGCGGGGUAAUGGCCCACCAAGACGAUGAUCGGUAUCCGGCCUGAGAGGGCGCACGGACACACUGGAACUGAAACACGGUCCAGACUCCUACGGGAGGCAGCAGUGGGGAAUUUUGCGCAAUGGGGGAAACCCUGACGCAGCAACGCCGCGUGGAGGAUGAAAUAUCUUGGUAUGUAAACUCCUUUCGAUGGGGAAGAUUAUGACGGUACCCAUAGAAGAAGCCCCGGCUAACUUCGUGCCAGCAGCCGCGGUAAUACGAGGGGGGCAAGCGUUGUUCGGAUUUAUUGGGCGUAAAGGGUGCGUAGGCGGUUUGGCAAGUCUGAUGUGAAAUCUAUGGGCUCAACCCAUAGUCUGCAUCAGAAACUGCCGGGCUUGAGUAUGGGAGAGGUGAGUGGAAUUUCCGGUGUAGCGGUGAAAUGCGUAGAUAUCGGAAGGAACACCUGUGGCGAAAGCGGCUCACUGGACCAUAACUGACGCUGAUGCACGAAAGCUAGGGGAGCAAACAGGAUUAGAUACCCUAGUAGUCC
rnacentral:rRNA from 1 species